rnacentral:rRNA from 1 species
GACGAACGCUGGCGGCGUGCUUAACACAUGCAAGUCGAACGGAAAGGCCCUGCUUUUGUGGGGUGCUCGAGUGGCGAACGGGUGAGUAACACGUGAGUAACCUGCCCUUGACUUUGGGAUAACUUCAGGAAACUGGGGCUAAUACCGGAUAGGAGCUCCUGCUGCAUGGUGGGGGUUGGAAAGUUUCGGCGGUUGGGGAUGGACUCGCGGCUUAUCAGCUUGUUGGUGGGGUAGUGGCUUACCAAGGCUUUGACGGGUAGCCGGCCUGAGAGGGUGACCGGCCACAUUGGGACUGAGAUACGGCCCAGACUCCUACGGGAGGCAGCAGUGGGGAAUAUUGCGCAAUGGGCGGAAGCCUGAUGCAGCAACGCCGCGUGCGGGAUGACGGCCUUCGGGUUGUAAACCGCUUUCGCCUGUGACGAAGCGUGAGUGACGGUAAUGGGUAAAAAAGCACCGGCUAACUACGUG